UGCCAGCAGCCGCGGUAAUACGGAGGGUGCAAGCGUUGUUCGGAAUUAUUGGGCGUAAAGCGCGCGUAGGCGGCUUUGUAAGUCGGAUGUGAAAGCCCUGGGCUUAACCUGGGAAUGGCAUUCGAAACUGCAGAGCUAGAGUAUGGUAGAGGGAAGUGGAAUUUCCGGUGUAGCGGUGAAAUGCGUAGAUAUCGGUAGGAACACCAGUGGCGAAGGCGGCUUUCUGGACCGAUACUGACGCUGAGGUGCGAAAGCGUGGGGAGCAAACAGGAUUAGAUA
rnacentral:rRNA from 1 species